GCUGGGUGUGGUGGUGCACGCCUGUAAUCCCAGCUGCUCAGGAGGCUGAGGCAGGAGAAUCACUUGAACCCAGGAGGCAGAGGUUGCAUUGAGCCGAGAUUGUGCCACUGAACUCCAGCCUGGGCAACAGAGUGAGAUUCUGUCUCAA
rnacentral:SRP_RNA from 1 species